rnacentral:rRNA from 1 species
ACGUAGGGUGCAAGCGUUGUCCGGAAUUAUUGGGCGUAAAGAGCUCGUAGGCGGUUUGUCGCGUCGGCUGUGAAAUCCCGAGGCUCAACCUCGGGCCUGCAGUCGAUACGGGCAAACUAGAGUGUGGUAGGGGAGACUGGAAUUCCUGGUGUAGCGGUGAAAUGCGCAGAUAUCAGGAGGAACACCGGCGGCGAAGGCGGGUCUCUGGGCCAUAACUGACGCUGAGGAGCGAAAGCGUGGGGAGCGAACAGGA